GUGCUUGCUUCAGCAGCACAUAUACUAAAAUUGGAACAAUACAGAGAUUAGGGUUUGCCCCUGUGCAAGGAUGACACGCAAAUCUGUGAAGCAUUCCAUAUUUUU
rnacentral:snRNA from 1 species